CUUGCUAAGGCCGAUGGCGACCGGCGCACGGGUGAGUAACGCGUAUCCAACCUGCCGAUAACUCGGGGAUAGCCUUUCGAAAGAAAGAUUAAUAUCCGAUAGUAUAUUAAAACCGCAUGGUUUUACUAUUAAAGAAUUUCGGUUAUCGAUGGGGAUGCGUUCCAUUAGUUUGUUGGCGGGGUAACGGCCCACCAAGACUACGAUGGAUAGGGGUUCUGAGAGGAAGGUCCCCCACAUUGGAACUGAGACACGGUCCAA
rnacentral:rRNA from 1 species